rnacentral:rRNA from 1 species
UACCAGACUCCUACGGGGGGCAGCAGUGGGGGAUAUUGCACAAUGGGGGAAACCCUGAUGCAGCGACGCCGCGUGUGGGAAGACGGUCCUCUGGAUUGUAAACCACUGUCCCCAGGGACGAAGAUGACGGUACCUGGGGAGGAACCUCCGGCUAACUACGUGCCAGCAGCCGCGGUAAUACGUAGGGAGCGAGCGUUGUCCGGAAUUACUGGGUGUGAAGGGAGCGUAGGCGGGACGGCAAGUUGGGUGUGAAAUCUGCCGGCUCAACCGGUAGCCGCGCUCAAAAGUGCGGUUCUGGAGUGAAGUAGAGGCAGGCGGAAUUCCUAGUGUAGCGGUGAAAUGCGUAGAUAUUAGGAGGAACACCAGUGGGGAAGGCGGCCUGCUGGGCUUUUACUGACGCUGAGGCUCGAAAGUGUGGGGAGCAAACAGGAUUAGAUACCCCAGUACUA